AGUGGGAAACUGCUGCUAAUACGGGAUACGAUCUAUCGAUUACAUGGUUGGUAGAUGAAAAGCUAUUGUGCUGAAGGAUGGACUCGCGUUCCAUUAGCUAGCUGGUAGGGUAACGGCCUACCAGGGCGACGAUGGAUAGCCGGCCUGAGAGGGUGAACGGCCACACAGGAACUGAGACACGGUCCUGACUCCUACGGGGGGCAGCAGUCGGGGAUAUUGCACAAUGGAGGAAACUCUGAUGCAGCGACGCCGCGUGAACGAAGAAGGCCUUCGGGUCGUAAAGUUCUGAUGUGAGAGAAGAUAGUGACGGUAUCUCACCAGCAAGCACCGGCUAACUACGUGCCAGCAGCCGCGGUAAUACGUAGGGUGCGAGCGUUGUCCGGAAUCACUGGGCGUAAAGGGAGCGUAGGUGGUUAUAUAAGUCCUCAGUAAAAGGCAUUGGCUUAACCAAUGUGAGCUGAGGAAACUAUAUGACUUGAGUACAGUAGAGGUAAGUGGAAUUCCUAGUGUAGCGGUGAAAUGCGUAGAUAUUAGGAGGAACACCAGUGGCGAAGGCGACUUACUGGGCUGUAACUGACACUGAGGCUCGAAAGCGUGGGGAGCAAACAGGAUUAGAUACCCUGGUAGUCCACGCCGUAAACGAUGAGUGCUAGGUGUCGGGGGUUUAGAUACCCUCGGUGCUGGAGUUAACGCAAUAAGCGCUCCGCCUGGGGAGUACGAUCGCAAGGUUGAAACUCAAAGGAAUUGACGGGGGCUCGCACAAGCAGCGGAGCAUGUGGUUUAAUUCGAAGCAACGCGAA
rnacentral:rRNA from 1 species